ensembl:lncRNA
GUGAAAGCAGCAUGGAUGCAAUACUGUGCUCGGUAUGAUUUUUUAAAUCAACUUUUAAUCAACCUUUUUUUCUGUGUACUUUUAUCUUUCAUCAGUAUAUAUAUAUAGAGAGAGAGCGAGAGAGAGAGAGAGAGAGAGAGAGGCUAGUUGCAAUGUCAGAUAGAAAGUACUCUUCCCUUUGGAAAAGAGCAAAAAGAUUAGAAGAAAAAUGUGCAAGGGCUCAAACGGGUGCAUCAGAGUUAUUGCCGACAGAUGUCUCUCCUCCUUGUCUUUCACUCUUUUCCCAAGAACUUACAGUAGAGGAUGGUUCGAUCAAACAGAAUAGUGCAGAUAACAGAGAUUUUGAUGAUUUUCUGUCCCAAAGCAGCAAUAGGGAGCCUAACCUACCACUUAGACAUUCCAUUGCACAGUGGACAAAUGAAUUUCAUAUAAAACAUAAUGCAGUGGAUGCUUUGCUAAAAAUUUUGAUCGAAAAUGGACACCCAGACCUGCCAAGGACAGCAAAAACAUUGCUUGCCACCAACGAAGAUGUUGAGUUUGAGAUGAAAUCAGAAAUGCAGUAUGUCUACCUUGGCUGCAAAGACCAGGGCCCUCAUUUAUCAACAGUGCGUAGAAAAGGUUCUAUAUUUUGUCCAACGAAUGAAAUUUAGAAUGUGCCUAAGUACAAGAAAAUCCGCAUUUAUCAAACGUGCGCACACAGUUCUUACGCACAUGAGUAAGCAAUCAUUGUUGAUAAAUACCACAUGUGCGUAAGUACCAUGCUCGUUCACAUUCAUGGUCAUUAGCAUUCAGAAACGCCUCCAAUUAACCAUAUAUGGUGACAACACUUCCCUUUAAAAAUUACGUGAUUGUGUUUUUUCCUCACUGCAAUAAUGGCAAAGAGAGCAAAGAAGAGGAACUUCACAAACACAGAAUUAGAGAUACUUGUAAAUGAAGUUGAAUCCAACCAACAGAUAUUGUUUAGUUCAUUCACUGCAGGAGGAAUUACAAAUAAAAGAAAAAAUGCUGCAUGGGAGAAUGUCACCAAUGCAGUUAAUUCCGUUGGGUCUGAGGAGAGAACUGUCCCAGAAAUUAAAAAAAAAUGGUUUGAUAUUAAAGUAUUGGCUAAAAAACGUGUCACAGCACACAGACGAGAAAUGUCCGCAACUGGAGGAGGACAGACAACAACGGAACUUUCCCCAUUGGACAACCGCAUAGCCUGCAUCAUCGGAGACACGGCUCUGUCCGGGAUUACUAAGGACGGUGACACUGAUGCUCUUGCGACAGAACAAACCGGGCCAUCUAACACCCAAAGUGAAGCGACACCCGUUGUGCCUGAGGAGCUUGAGGAGCCGGGCCCAUCCAUUGCCCCUUCCAUGCGCCGUGCGCCAAGAGUGCUGAGUGAGGCGGUGCUACAAAAUCAAGAGGAAACAACAAAAUCCAUUAAUGACCUAAAGGAUCAACUGAGCAACAUAACGAAUGUAUUGAUUCAAAUCAACGAGUCUCUGAAACAGAUUGCCUCUUGCGCAAAUACAAUUGCUAAUAAACCAUAAACCGCUGACUAAUGUGAUUUCAGUUAUUUGUUUCCACGAAGCUGCAAAACACAAAAUGAAAUCGCUGUAAUGUUUCUGCACUCGACCAAUGGCCAGACUUACCUAAAAUGUCUGUAUGAUCCUCUGUCUUGUCUGAAUGCCAGCGGCAUUAGGAGGUGGCAGGGGCACUGCAUCGGGCAUAGGGCCGUCUGGUCUUGGGGGUUCCUGCAGAGGGAUGCCCUGUCUGAUGGCCAAGUUGUGUAGCACACUGCAAGCCAUGAUGAUUUUGCAUGCUUUUUCUGGCUGAUACUGCAGUGUCCCUCCCGUGCUUGACAGACACAGCCAUCGUCCUUUCAGCAGGCCUAUUGCGCGCUCAACUGUGCUCCUUGAGCGCGCAUGGGCACGGUUGUACGCCUGUUCCUGCUCGGUCCUCGGGUUGGUUAGGGGGGUCAUUAGCCAUGGCUUUAGCGGGUAACCUUGAUCACCUAAUGAUGAAAUAGUUUUAAGUAAUUGUACAUAGCCCUACAAUAGCAUUUUAAACAUGUUGUAGCCUUAAAUUCACCAAUGAGCCAGCCAUCCUCAACAGCGCCUUCUUGGAGACGCACACCCACAGAGCUAUUCUGCAGAACGAACGAGUCGUGUGUUCCUCCAGGCCACCGCGCAACGACGUUUAAUAACAACAAAUUUGCAUCACAAAUUAUUUGCACGUUAACAGAAUGAAACCCUUUUCUAUUUACAUAAUUAAAUUCGUUGGUUGAUGGUGCUUUUAUGGCGAUGUGGGUGCAGUCUAUAGCUCCAAUUAUGUUUGGGAAUCUAGCAAUGGCAUGAAAGUCCCGUUUUAUUGCGGCUUGUUGAGGAUUUCGAUAAGGGAACUGGAUGUAGGUUGGGGCCAAGGAAAUAAUUGCAUCCAACACUGCCGGCAUGAUCCUACUCACUGAUGGCUGGGAUAUACCACAUAUGUCUCCAACCUCACGCUGAAAUGUGCCAGUAGCUAAAAAUCCAAGGGUGGACAGGAGUUGGA